rnacentral:rRNA from 1 species
CAGCAGCCGCGGUAAUACGUAGGUGGCAAGCGUUGUCCGGAAUUAUUGGGCGUAAAGGGCUCGCAGGCGGUUUCUUAAGUCUGAUGUGAAAGCCCCCGGCUCAACCGGGGAGGGUCAUUGGAAACUGGGAAACUUGAGUGCAGAAGAGGAGAGUGGAAUUCCACGUGUAGCGGUGAAAUGCGUAGAGAUGUGGAAGAACACCAGUGGCGAAGGCGACUCUCUGGUCUGUAACUGACACUGAGGAGCGAAAGCGUGGGGAGCGAACAGGAUUAGAUACCCCAGUAGUCCCUGUCUCUUAUAC